rnacentral:rRNA from 1 species
AUUGAACGCUGGCGGCAGGCCUAACACAUGCAAGUCGAACGAGUGGCGGACGGGUGAGUAAUGUCUGGGAAACUGCCCGAUGGAGGGGGAUAACUACUGGAAACGGUAGCUAAUACCGCGUACCCUCGGAUGUGCCCAGAUGGGAUUAGCUUGUAGGUGAGGUAACGGCUCACCUAGGCGACGAUCCCUAGCUGGUCUGAGAGGAUGACCAGCAACACGGGAACUGAGACACGGUCCAGACUCCUACGGGAGGCAGCAGUGGGGAAUUGUGCACAAUGGGCGCAAGCCUGAUGCAGCCAUGCGGGGUGUAUGAAGAAGGACUUCGGGUUGUAAAGUACUUUCAGCGGGGAGGCGUUACCCGCAGAAGAAGCACCGGCUAACUCCGGGCCAGCAGCCGCGGUAAUG